rnacentral:rRNA from 1 species
AGAGUGCGUAAUAGCUCACUAGUCAAGCGACUCGGCGUCGAUAAUAAUCGGGCAUAAGCCAUUUGCCGAAGCUGUGGGAAUGAAUAAUUCGGUAGGGGAGCAUUCCAGUUGCAUCGAAGGUGCCGCCGCGAGGCGUGCUGGAGCGACUGGAAGCGAAACUGUAGGCAUGAGUAACGAUAAGAAGGGUGAAAAACCCUUCCACCGUAAACCCAAGGGUUCCUGAUCAACGCUAAUCGGAUCAGGGUUAGUCGAGACCUAAGGUG